rnacentral:rRNA from 1 species
AUUGAACGCUGGCGGCAUGCCUUACACAUGCAAGUCGAACGGUAACAGGUCUUCGGAUGCUGACGAGUGGCGAACGGGUGAGUAAUACAUCGGAACGUGCCCGAUCGUGGGGGAUAACGAAGCGAAAGCUUUGCUAAUACCGCAUACGAUCUACGGAUGAAAGCAGGGGACCGCAAGGCCUUGCGCGAACGGAGCGGCCGAUGGCAGAUUAGGUAGUUGGUGGGAUAAAAGCUUACCAAGCCGACGAUCUGUAGCUGGUCUGAGAGGACGACCAGCCACACUGGGACUGAGACACGGCCCAGACUCCUACGGGAGGCAGCAGUGGGGAAUUUUGGACAAUGGGCGAAAGCCUGAUCCAGUCGUGCCGCGUGCAGGAUGAAGGCCUUCGGGUUGUAAACUGCUUUUGUACGGAACGAAAAGACUCUGGUUAAUACCUGGGGUCCAUGACGGUACCGUAAGAAUAAGCACCGGCUAACUACGUG